rnacentral:rRNA from 1 species
AGCGAACGCUGGCGGCAGGCCUAACACAUGCAAGUCGAACGAAGUCUUCGGACUUAGUGGCGGACGGGUGAGUAACACGUGGGAACGUGCCUUUAGGUUCGGAAUAACUCAGGGAAACUUGUGCUAAUACCGAAUGUGCCCUUGGGGGGAAAGAUUUAUCGCCUUUAGAACGGCCCGCGUCUGAUUAGCUAGUUGGUGGGGUAAUGGCCCACCAAGGCCACGAUCAGUAGCUGGUCUGAGAGGAUGACCAGCCACAUUGGGACUGAGACACGGCCCAAACUCCUACGGGAGGCAGCAGUGGGGAAUCUUGCGCAAUGGGCGAAAGCCUGACGCAGCCAUGCCGCGUGGAUGAUGAAGGUCUUAGGAUUGUAAAAUCCUUUCACCGGUGAAGAUAAUGACUGUAGCCGGAGAAGAAGCCCCGGCUAACUUCGUGCCAGCCGCCGCCGUAAUAC